rnacentral:rRNA from 1 species
UGGGGAAUCUUGGACAAUGGGCGCAAGCCUGAUCCAGCCAUGCCACGUGUGUGAAGAAGGCCUUCGGGUUGUAAAGCACUUUUAUCAGGAACGAAAAGCGUGGGGUUAAUACCUUUACGUGCUGACGGUACCUGAGGAAUAAGCACCGGCUAACUUCGUGCCAGCAGCCGCGGUAAUACGAAGGGUGCAAGCGUUAAUCGGAAUUACUGGGCGUAAAGCGUGCGUAGAUGGUUUGUUAAGUCGGAUGUGAAAGCCCCGGGCUCAACCUGGGAACUGCAUCCGAUACUGGCAGACUAGAGUGUGGUAGAGGAUGGCGGAAUUCCCGGUGUAGCGGUGAAAUGCGUAGAGAUCGGGAGGAACAUCCGUGGCGAAGGCGGCCAUCUGGACCAACACUGACGUUGAGGCACGAAAGCGUGGGGAGCAAACAGGAUUAGAUACCCCAGUAGUCCCUGAGCGGGCUGGCAAGGCGCAU